rnacentral:rRNA from 1 species
AUUGAACGCUGGCGGCAUGCCUUACACAUGCAAGUCGAACGGCAGCGGGGGAGAAGCUUGCUUUUCCUGCCGGCGAGUGGCGAACGGGUGAGUAAUACAUCGGAACGUGCCCUGUAGUGGGGGAUAACUAGUCGAAAGAUUAGCUAAUACCGCAUACGACCUGAGGGUGAAAGUGGGGGACCGCAAGGCCUCAUGCUAUAGGAGCGGCCGAUGUCUGAUUAGCUAGUUGGUGGGGUAAAGGCCUACCAAGGCGACGAUCAGUAGCUGGUCUGAAGGGACGAUCAGCCAGAAUGGGACUGAGAAACGGCCCAGACUCCUACGGGAGGCAGCAGUGGAGAAUUUUGGACAAUGGUCGAAAGCCUGAUCCAGCAAUGCCGCGUGUGUGAAGAAGGCCUUCGGGUUGUAAAGCACUUUUGUCCGGAAAGAAAUGGCUCUGGUUAAUACCUGGGGUCGAUGACGGUACCGGAAGAAUAAGGACCGGCUAACUACGUGCCAGCCGCCGCCGUAAAAC